CCCUAUUGAAAGGAGUGAUUACUGGGGUAGCAGUAAAUGUGAAGGGAGUUAUUACUGAGGUAGCAGUAAAUGUGAAGGGAGUUAUUACUGAGGUAGCAGUAAAUGUGAAGGGAGUUAUUACUGAGGUAGCAGUAAUUGUGAAGGGAGUUAUUACUGAGGUAGCAGUAAUUGUGAAGGGAGUUAUUACUGAGGUAGCAGUAAUUGUGAAGGGAGUUAUUACUGAGGUAGCAGUAAUUGUGAAGGGAGUUAUUACUGAGGUAGCAGUAAAUGUGAAAGUUGACCAACUGAAGGGGAAGAUUCCCAGUGUUUGUGAUGUUUGGUGCGACGCAGACAGAGUGGCAAAACAGAAGAGUCAUUUUGAUAUUGAGUCUUUGCCCGACCAAAUGACGUUAGGAUAUUUCAGUUAUACCGUACAAGCUUUUGUGCCGAAUACAUUAUAUUGUUACAGGUGUCAAGCUUAUGGGCAUGUGGCAGCAGUGUGUAGGAGGGAGGUUCCUAGGUGUGAGAAGUGCAUGAGACAAAGGAAUGUGUAGCUUUGGGGAAAGUAGUGGUAUGUGUUUAUUGUAGAGGUGCCCAUGGGGCUGGGGAUCAGAAAUGUCCGGUGAGAGAGAGGCAGGUUGAGGUUACCAGGGUUAGAAUAGUGCAGAAGUUGUCAUAUGCUGAGGCAGUGAAGAAAGUAGAGGAAGAUGG
rnacentral:lncRNA from 1 species